UACGUAGGGGGCAAGCGUUGUCCGGAUUCAUUGGGCGUAAAGAGCGUGUAGGCGGCCAGGUAGGUCGGUUGUGAAAACUGGAGGCUCAACCUUCAGAGGUCGACCGAAACCAUCUGGCUAGAGUCCGGGAGAGGAGAAUGGAAUUCCUGGUGUAGCGGUGAAAUGCGCAGAUAUCAGGAAGAACACCCGUGGCUAAGGCGGUUCUCUAGUACGGUACUGACGCUGAGACGCGAAAGCGUGGGGAGCGAACAGG
rnacentral:rRNA from 1 species